rnacentral:snoRNA from 1 species
CCCCUCUGAGAGUCGCACCUGGAGAGUUUCUAGUCCUCUACCAAUCUUGGCUAUGGGAGGGAGAGUCAGGCAGGGGCCUACCCAAUCCAUUCCUAGCUUGGGCAGUGGCUAGCGAGUGGAAGGCAAUCUGCUACAAGU